UACGUAGGGUGCAAGCGUUGUCCGGAAUUAUUGGGCGUAAAGAGCUCGUAGGCGGUCUGUCGCGUCGGCUGUGAAAACCCGGGGCUCAACCCCGGGCCUGCAGUCGAUACGGGCAGACUAGAGUGCGGUAGGGGAGACUGGAAUUCCUGGUGUAGCGGUGAAAUGCGCAGAUAUCAGGAGGAACACCGGUGGCGAAGGCGGUUCUCUGGGCCGUAACUGACGCUGAGGAGCGAAAGCGUGGGGAGCGAACAGG
rnacentral:rRNA from 1 species